GACCGACGCAUGCGCUCGUCGCCCGUUUGCCGACCCGCAGUAGGGGCCAUUUGGCCCCCAAGGGCACGUGUCGUUGGCUAAGCCGUCGUGGCGGAAGGGUCACGGUGGCCGCCUUGAAUUACAAUUCCGAUCGAGCGGCGAGCUGAAUCCUUUGCAGACGACUUAAAUACGCGACGGGGUAUUGUAAGGGGUAGAGUGGCCUUGCUGCACGAUCCUCUGAGAUUCAGCCCUUUGUCGCUCCGAUUCGU
rnacentral:ncRNA from 1 species